ensembl:lncRNA LOC108351243 uncharacterized LOC108351243
ACAGCAGGCUGAGGCUAUGCUAAUUGUCCUUCAGGGAUUGGCGGAGCAUGAGUUAUCUUAUUAGCAUGGUGCUGCUCCCUCAUUAGCAUAUUACCUGCCAACUGAUGCCAGGUGCAAAGCCUGCGCAUGCGCAGUACCGUUGUUCACCACAGGAGGGCGCUCUACAACUCAGAAGGCAAGAGAACAGCUUAUUGAGUGUUUAAAGUUCAGACAGAUUUUUCCAGCAGGACAGUAAUACUUACAUCCUGGAGUCUCACAGAGGGAUGCAUUCAUAGAUAUCAUCGCUUUUGUUGAUAUCGUGUCCACGUACUCCUAGGUUCUGUCAGUUCAUCUACAACAAUGGGUUCUUUCACACCUGGAAAACUCCUUUGUCCUGGAUGAGCAUCCCCUCUGUCUCAGUUCUGCAGUGUUUCUCAAAUCAGGGAAAAUUUAAUAAAUCUUUGAAGGACUUAAUAAAAGAACAGAAGAUUUAUAUACCUAAUAAAAAAUUCAUUUAUUU